CCUACGGGAGGCAGCAGUGAGGAAUAUUGGUCAAUGGACGGAAGUCUGAACCAGCCAUGCCGCGUGCAGGAUGACGGCUCUAUGAGUUGUAAACUGCUUUUGUACGAGAGUAAACGUACUUACGCGUAUCUAUCUGAAUGUAUCGUACGAAUAAGGAUCGGCUAACUCCGUGCCAGCAGCCGCGGUAAUACGGAGGAUUCAAGCGUUAUCCGGAUUUAUUGGGUUUAAAGGGUGCGUAGGCUGUCGGAUAAGUUAGAGGUGAAAUCUCGGGGCUCAACCUCGUGACUGCCUCUGAUACUGUUCGACUAGAGAGCAGAUGCAGUAGGCGGAAUGAGUAGUGUAGCGGUGAAAUGCUUAGAGAUCACACAGAACACCGAUUGCGAAGGCAGCUUACCAAUCUGCAUCUGACGCUGAUGCACGAAAGCGUGGGUAGCGAACAGGAUUAGAUACCCCUGUAGUC
rnacentral:rRNA from 1 species